CGGGGCGUAGCGCAGUCUGGAAGCGCACUUGAAUGGGGUUCAAGCGGUCGCUGGUUCAAAUCCAGCCGUCCCGACCA
rnacentral:tRNA from 1 species